GGAUACGUCCGAUAACGAAUACUACAUAAAAUAUCAAUUUCCGCGAACCGCGCGACAGAGCGGCGGUUCAACAGUGAUCGCGUGACCUGGAGCGCGGGAAAACGAGGAGGUGGUCGUACGAUGGGAGAGGUAAGGAGAACUCCCUUGGGCGUUGCACGAGUCCGGGGCUCCGGCCGUGGCCCCCCCGGGUCAGACGAUCCCGGCCCGGGAGCUGCGCGGUGGGCCCGAUCGAUACAACGGCGCACUGCGUCUCAGAAAUCGGGGCGACGGGCGCCGCCGCCGAGGACCAGUCUCGUCCGAGCAGUCCCGUCGACGACAGGAGCGGUCCUCCGGGCGUUGCCAUGUGCGUCGAGUUCGUGCUCUUCGUGCAGAACCUCGGGGCCCUUGUCAGGGCCACCGUGGCCAGUCUGUCUUCGGCAAACCACAGGACGAUGGUGAUAUCGGAAGCAGACGACAGCAGGGCGGAGAGAUCGAGUCGUGAGACGCCGACGAAGGUGAAGGAGUCCUAGGCCGCCUCGACCAUCGGCGGUCGUCGGAGAGAGGGGAGAAAGUAUUAGCCCGAGCAGGCAGCUCAGUGUGUUUGCAGCACCACCACAUAUCUGCGAUGCGAGCGUAGAACUAUUUGUGUACAGCGAGACGUCCAAAGUACAAUAAUAAAAACACUUCCCGUUGUUGUACUGUCCA